ACACUACUGGCGGCAGCCAGCUCUCCAGCUCUGGAGUCAGCUCCCGCAGUAACUACCGAAGCUUCCAGUUCGCGCUGGCCUGGAUGCUCAGUCAGCGGGGGUGCUGAACUGCACAGCUUGGGGGCACCUGGUGGCAGGAGCGUCC